AAUGUCAGUCCCCGAUCCCCUUUCCCUAACCACGCCCUAAUCGCGCGCAUGUGUAUUACGUCACUUCCUCUUUGCCGCCAACAUUUGCGACGGUGGAGAGUUUUGGAUUUGAUUUGCGUCAGCUGGAUUUGAUUUCCGACAGUUGAGUGAUCGGGUAUCCGAAACAGAGAUCCGACAAUAACAGCUGAUCGCCACAGUUGCUACUAUUCCAUGAACGGAUCAGUCCUUCAACAGAGUUACUCCACCUCGUUCAAAGGAUGACUGCAGUUACAAACAUAAAGAUGGAAUAUGUCCUGGACCAAAACCGUCCUCCAGGAGAGCUCAUAGUGAAGGAGGAUGAUAUCUGCUCAACCUGUGAAGACUUUAGGAUCCUGAAUAUGACACAGUGGAUGGAAUCCUCUGAGAAAAAUGUCUACAAUUAUGACCUUUACUGCCUUUAUGACCACCUGGAAGGAUCCCCAAGUUGACC